rnacentral:rRNA from 1 species
AAGCUCGUAGUUGAAUUUCGGGGUUAGUAGGUUGGUCAUGCCUCCGGUAUGUACUGGUCUCACUGAUUCCUCCUUCCUGAUGAACCGUAAUGCCAUUAAUUUGGUGUUGCGGGGAAUUUGGACUGUUACUUUGAAAAAAUUAGAGUGUUUAAAGCAAGCUAACGCUUGAGUACAUUAGCAUGGAAUAAUGAAAUAGGACGUUCGAUCCUAUUUUGUUGGUUUCUAGGAUUGACGUAAUGAUUAAUAGGGAUAGUUGGG